UACAGAGGUCCCAAGCGUUGUUCGGAUUUAUUGGGCGUAAAGGGUGCGUAGGCGGCGGAGUAAGUUGGGUGUGAAAUCCCGGGGCUCAACCUCGGAAUGGCAUUCAAUACUGCUUCGCUAGAGUACUGGAGAGGAGGCUGGAAUUUACGGUGUAGCAGUGAAAUGCGUAGAUAUCGUAAGGAAGGCCGGUGGCGAAAGCGGGUCUCUGGACAGUUCCUGACGCUGAGGCACGAAGGCCAGGGGAGCAAACGGG
rnacentral:rRNA from 1 species